rnacentral:lncRNA from 1 species
GGAAGCUCCGGGAGGGAGAGCCGCGUCCACUCCUCUUUCCAGACUAUGAUGGGGCCCAGGGACCCCUCCCCUCCGACUGAGCCCCACAGACCCCCUACUCAGGACAGAAGGGGAAAGCUGAGCUCCUGCUGGCCCAGGCAUCAGAAUUCCUCAGGGAGGAAAAGUUGCCUAUCUGUUGGGUCAGAUUUCUGAAGACUGAUGAGGCCCAUUUUCCGAUAUCCUUCGAGUUGGAUUUCGACUGGGUUCUGCCAAUGGGAUGUAUCCAUGCGAGAUUCUGGAACUAACAUCAGAGAGAGUCCAAGCUUCUAACUUUUAUCAGCGGCAGUGACAAUAGUCAAGCAGCAUUGAUGACAAAUGGCAAGAGUUUAGAAAGUACCAGUGACGUGCCUGAUAGAAUCUCACCACAAGAUGGAAGCCAACUCGUCAGAAGCCUGGAAAGCCCACCCAGCGUGGGACCUCUGUGGGUCCAGGAUCUUGGAAUGGCAUCCCAUGGUUCAAUCUUCCGGAUUCAACCACAUAAAUUUACCCCACCCAUGUCGUGGACCCAAGCUUCCUACCAUGUAUCCUUAGCUUAAAUGCAAGAUAGUACUAUUUUGUUCAUCUUGAUUGGAGUGAGAAAUGAAUAGGUCCA